UCAUAUAUGUGAAAUAAGGCAGCCACCUGAAGGCAGCUCAAGGCUGCUCUUCAAUUUUGAGGUCCUAUUUAGGUUAAGUGAGGGUUUCCAGACAGGUGUUACUGAACAACUAAGUCUCAGCCUUGUGCUUGGCAUCUGGAGAGUCACAGAAGCCAUUAAAAUAUGCUUCUCCUGCCUGUAGGGCAUGUAUCAGUCAUUGGUUGUGUGAAUACACACGUCUCACGGCAUCUGGAGGGCUUCUCAAUCUGAGCACCUUUGACACCAAGGGCUGGUUGUCUGGGGGCUUGUACUACUACUCAAUGUGCUGAAGACCAGUUAUGGACCCAGUGAUGACUAUGCAUAGCUUCAAGCAGACUGUGUUGGGUUUGAAGAGCUCUUGAGAUUUUUGAAUAGAGGUACUGAAUGAUGGUUAUGGGGUCAUCAACCUUUUCUUCUUCCUCCUAUUAAGUCCUUUGGAACAGAGGCAGGUCUCCUGGAGUCCUCUCCUUGGUGGCUUUUAUUCGUACAAGGAUGGGGGAAUAUAUAAAUCAGUCUGCUGCCUUGCCUCCCAGGAGCUUCUCUGUCCACUCCAAUCCUGCCUACAAGCAAGUGACCUUCAUGAAAGCAUGUAUUUAACCAUUGUCUUCACCAUUGUACAGUCCCCAGGCAUUGGUCAGUCCUGCCCCAGAAUAGGAGCCCACUCAGUUUUUAUGGAAUACAUCUGUUGAGUGAAUAAGAAAUCCUUCUUUUCCUUUGUUAGCUAUCCUAUUCUUCUCCAUGUUUGUCCCCCAUCUUCAAGGAAGCCUUUUCCUACUCAAUCAAUAUUCAUCGUCCUUUAAAAUUUCUUCAAAGACCUUUGUCCCCAGAACAUUGGCCUUCAGGUCUAGACCACGCAUGAACUCCGAUGGUGUGAAGUUCCAUUUUGUGUAAUGUGUGUUAAACGGGUCUCAACAGGA